rnacentral:tRNA from 1 species
AUUUAUAUAAUAUAAAUAGUAUAUUUGACUUCCAAUCAAAAAGUUUAAUAGUUACUUUAAUAUAAAUA